CUACGUGCCAGCAGCCGCGGUCAUACGUAGGAUCCGAGCGUUAUCCGGAGUGACUGGGCGUAAAGAGUUGCGUAGGUGGUUUAAUAAGCGAAUAGUGAAAUCUGGUGGCUCAACCAUUCAGACUAUUAUUCGAACUGUUAAACUCGAGAGCAGAAGAGGUAGCUGGAAUUUCUAGUGUAGGAGUGAAAUCCGUAGAUAUUAGAAGGAACACCGAUGGCGUAGGCAGGCUACUGGGCUGUUUCUGACACUGAGGCACGAAAGCGUGGGGAGCGAACCGGAUUAGAUACCCGGGUAGUCCACGCCGUAAACGAUGGAUACUAGCUGUUUGGGGUAUCGACCCCCUGAGUAGCGAAGCUAACGCGUUAAGUAUCCCGCCUGUGGAGUACGAUCGCAAGAUUAAAACAUAAAGGAAUUGACGGGGACCCGCACAAGCGGUGGAUCAUGUUCUUUAAUUCGAUGAUAACCGAUAAACCUUACCAGGUCUUGACAUCC
rnacentral:rRNA from 1 species